rnacentral:rRNA from 1 species
CGAGGGCGACUGAUACUGCAGUCGAGCGGACAGAUGGGAGCUUGCUCCCUGAUGUUAGCGGCGGACGGGUGAGUAACACGUGGGUAACCUGUCCUGUAAGACUGGGAUAACUCCGGGAAACCGGGGCUAAUACCGGAUGGUUGUUUGAACCGCAUGGUUCAGACAUAAAAGGUGGCUUCGGCUACCACUUACAGAUGGACCCGCGGCGCAUUAGCUAGUUGGUGAGGUAACGGCUCACCAAGGCGACGAUGCGUAGCCGACCUGAGAGG